AGUAAAGAAGUAAAAUUACAUUUAGUUUCGACCUAAAAAUAAGGAUUAUUCCUCAUACUU
rnacentral:tRNA from 1 species